UACGUAGGGUGCAAGCGUUGUCCGGAAUUAUUGGGCGUAAAGGGCUCGUAGGCGGUCCAUCGCGUCGGGUGUGAAAAGCUGGGGCUCAACCCCAGUCCUGCUUCCGAUACGGGUGGACUAGAGGUAGGCAGGGGAGAACGGAAUUCCUGGUGUAGCGGUGAAAUGCGCAGAUAUCAGGAGGAACACCGGUGGCGAAGGCGGUUCUCUGGGCCUUACCUGACGCUGAGGAGCGAAAGCGUGGGGAGCAAACAGG
rnacentral:rRNA from 1 species